rnacentral:lncRNA from 1 species
AAGGGUAGACACAUGAUAUGAUGACUACGCAUUAAUGUCACGUGUAGCCCCUCAUUGAGGAGUGUUUAUCAGACAUUUUAUGGGGUGAUCCUAUAGGAUAAACAACCUAGGACCCCUCUUUACCAAAUCCUCUCUCUCUCUCUAUUUAAGCUUGUUCAAACCUUUAUCUUGCCACAAGAGUUAUCUAACAUGAUUUACUUGCAACUUCUUUUAUUCAAUUGUUUAUAUGGACUAAUUUGUAAAUGUAAGUUCAGCUGGGACCCAUAGUUGUGGAUCAAGA